rnacentral:rRNA from 1 species
GACGAACGCUGGCGGCGUGCUUAACACAUGCAAGUCGAACGGUAAGGCUCCAGCUUGCUGGGGUACACGAGUGGCGAACGGGUGAGUAACACGUGGGUGACCUGCCCUGCACUUCGGGAUAAGCUUGGGAAACUGGGUCUAAUACCGGAUAGGACCGCACCGUGAGGGUGUGGUGGAAAGUUUUUUCGGUGUGGGAUGGGCCCGCGGCCUAUCAGCUUGUUGGUGGGGUAAUGGCCUACCAAGGCGGCGACGGGUAGCCGGCCUGAGAGGGUGGACGGCCACAUUGGGACUGAGACACGGCCCAGACUCCUACGGGAGGCAGCAGUGGGGAAUAUUGCACAAUGGGCGGAAGCCUGAUGCAGCGACGCCGCGUGGGGGAUGACGGCCUUCGGGUUGUAAACUCCUUUCACCAUCGACGAAGGGUUUCUGACGGUAGAUGGAGAAGAAGCACCGGCUAACUACGUGCCAGCAGCCGCGGUAAUACGUAGGGUGCGAGCGUUGUCCGGAAUUACUGGGCGUAAAGAGCUCGUAGGUGGUUUGUCGCGUCGUCUGUGAAAUUCCGGGGCUUAACUCCGGGCGUGCAGGCGAUACGGGCAUAACUUGAGUACUGUAGGGGAGACUGGAAUUCCUGGUGUAGCGGUGAAAUGGGCAGAUAUCAGGAGGAACACCGGUGGCGAAGGCGGGUCUCUGGGCAGUAACUGACGCUGAGGAGCGAAAGCAUGGGGAGCGAACAGGAUUAGAUACCCUGGUAGUCCAUGCCGUAAACGGUGGGCGCUAGGUGUGGGUUUCCUUCCACGGGAUCCGUGCCGUAGCUAACGCAUUAAGCGCCCCGCCUGGGGAGUACGGCCGCAAGGCUAAAACUCAAAGGAAUUGACGGGGGCCCGCACAAGCGGCGGAGCAUGUGGAUUAAUUCGAUGCAACGCGAAGAACCUUACCUGGGCUUGACAUAUACAGGAUCGCGCCAGAGAUGGUGUUUCCCUUGUGGCUUGUAUACAGGUGGUGCAUGGUUGUCGUCAGCUCGUGUCGUGAGAUGUUGGGUUAAGUCCCGCAACGAGCGCAACCCUUGUCUUAUGUUGCCAGCACGUUGUGGUGGGGACUCGUAAGAAACUGCCGGGGUUAACUCGGAGGAAGGUGGGGAUGACGUCAAAUCAUCAUGCCCCUUAUGUCCAGGGCUUCACACAUGCUACAAUGGUCGGUACAGUGGGUUGCCAGUCCGUGAGGGCGAGCUAAUCCCGCAAAGCCGGUCUCAGUUCGGAUCGGGGUCUGCAACUCGACCCCGUGAAGUCGGAGUCGCUAGUAAUCGCAGAUCAGCAACGCUGCGGUGAAUACGUUCCCGGGCCU